CCUACGGGAGGCAGCAGUGGGGAAUAUUGCACAAUGGGGGAAACCCUGAUGCAGCGACGCCGCGUGAGUGAAGAAGUAUUUCGGUAUGUAAAGCUCUAUCAGCAGGGAAGAAGAAAGACGGUACCUGACUAAGAAGCCCCGGCUAACUACGUGCCAGCAGCCGCGGUAAUACGUAGGGGGCAAGCGUUAUCCGGAUUUACUGGGUGUAAAGGGAGCGUAGACGGAGAAGCAAGUCUGAAGUGAAAGCCCGUGGGUUAACCACGGGACUGCUUGGGAAACUGUUUGACUAGAGUGCUGGAGAGGUAAGUGGAAUUCCUAGUGUAGCGGUGAAAUGCGUAGAUAUUAGUAGGAACACCAGUGGCGAAGGCGGCUUACUGGACAGUAACUGACGUUGAGGCUCGAAAGCGUGGGGAGCAAACAGGAUUAGAUACCCUAGUAGUC
rnacentral:rRNA from 1 species